UUCCCGGUGGUCUAGUGGUUAGGAUUUGGCAAUUUAACUGCCAUGGCCCAGGUUCAAUCCCUGGUCAGGGAA
rnacentral:tRNA from 1 species